AUUCUGCCCAUGCGGGGAAGGAUGAGAAGCUUCGACUAAGGUUCGGCUCGAGCGUCAGCGAGAGAGCGUUGCCGCAGGCAACGACCCGAAGGGCGAAGCGCGCAGCGCUGAGUAAUCCUUGCCCCACCACCA
rnacentral:sRNA from 1 species